rnacentral:piRNA from 1 species
UCCAGAAUUGUGCAGUCAAGGGCCAGUUGC